rfam:Hordeum vulgare subsp. vulgare, WGS project CAJW01000000 data, contig: morex_contig_42794
UAAAUACUCCCUCCGUCCGGAAUUACUUGUCGCAUAAAUGAAUGAAAAUGGAUGUAUCUAGAACUAAAANNNNNNUAGAUACAUCCAUUCCUAUGACAAGUAUUUCCGGACGUGAGAGAGUACUAU